rnacentral:lncRNA from 1 species
UCUGGCAAUAACACGCGCGUUGUUUUUAUCGCAAUUGAAUUUAAUGCCCAAGGAGCGAAGAAGUUUCCAAAAUAUUUUGAGCUUUUUUGAGCGACAGUCCGUCAAAUAACGAGUUAUUGAGGCAACAUGACGAGUAGGAAAGGAUACUACGCUAACAGGGAUGCUUCGAAAGUGUAUCAAAGUGUAUCUAUUUUAUUGUUUUCCUCGAUGGAGAGCGCAUUCCAUUUCUGCGUCUGCCCAUGAAUGGCCAUGAUAUACCUGCAUCCUCAAGCUUCUACCAAAGGUUGUCAAGAAAAGAAUCCAAGAAGGAUUGGAGAUUGCUCCCAACAUAGCUGCAAUGUUGAUCCUUCAGAGAAAUCGCUUGUUGAAGCCCAUCAAUCGAGGUUUUAAUGACUAUAAAAUUUUCUUUAUUACACUAUUUCACUAUCGUUAAUAUAUACGAACUGUUUAUCUAUUUUGUUUACAAACUGAAACCCAUAAUAUAAUUAUAAAGGCCUAAAGAUAUGAUACUCGAGACUAGUGAGUUGUCGAUGAAAAAAUAAUGAACAAUUUGGAGUGAACAUGUUUGGGACUUUUGGAUGGCUGUUUAUAUAGACGUGUUAUUGUCACUUGUCAGAGUGAUAAUCUACUUGGCUGUGGCAGUGCUUUACUGUCUUUGACUGUCUGCUCAUGGACAACUUGUGCUCACUUAAAACUUAAUAGAAACACAUCAAAAAGUUUCUCUGAUCAAAGUUAAAGUAGAUUUUAAUUUGAUCAAAGCACAUAACAGUUUAAAUGCCUUUUAGUUGCUCUGAAGUUACAGUACUUGACCUAAUGGGGUGUUUAUAUGGAGGCAAGCCAGCUCGGGUGCCUGAGCUAGCUCGCUUGGCCGAGAUCUAAUGUUGCUAGAUAAUUUAUACUAAUAUUCGUAUUGUGUGUAUAUGAGAACCAGGCUUGCUUGCCUAAGCAAGAUCUUGUUUAAUUUGUGAAGCCCGACAGAGCCCCAGAUCUCGCCUAGGUUGGCUGGUUUGCCUAAGCCGCUCAAUACGAAUAUAUUGUACUAAUUGUAGUAAAUAAGACUUUCUCAACAGAUUUUUGAUCUAUAAUUUUAUAAAUUAAUGCCUCUGUGAACAGUUGUGAUGGUCAUAACCAUGACAGUUUCUCGCGAUGAUUUGUUUUGGUGCCAGCCUGCUACAUGAUGAAAUUAGCUAGGCAAAGCCACCUAGCUCAGGUAACUGGGCUGGCUUGCUUCCAUAUAAACACCCCUAAGACAUUUAGUUUAUAAAAGAUUUUGAUCACAAAUACUUAUAUGAUGUAAACAAACUCAACUAAUAAUUACUAGUAAGUAUAUUUUCCACCCUAAUUGUAAGUAAAAGCUUGCAUAUAAGAACCUGUAUAAGGGCCUGUCAGGCUAAUUUUUCAGUAUUUAGACACCCAAUCUGUUUAGGCUAGUAUUUCAGGUUCUUAUUUUAUCACAUGGAGACCAGUCAGAUCUAAAAAUGUAUAAAAAUCAAAGAGAAUAAACUCUUCACAAAGUAAUGAAAAUGAUCCAGAACCCUGAAAAUGUCAUUGAGAUAAAUAAAGUGUAGCUUUACAGUGCAUACAGCUUUGUAUAAGUGCAUAUAUACUGGCAUUUUUAGAUGAUCAUGACUGAUAUAGUUACUAUACAUGUCUUGUCCAAAAGUGGGGUCUGGGGGUUUGAAAUCAGAG